UACGUAGGGUGCAAGCGUUGUCCGGAAUUAUUGGGCGUAAAGAGCUCGUAGGCGGUCUGUCACGUCGGAUGUGAAACCUCGGGGCUCAACCCCGAGCCUGCAUUCGAUACGGGCAGACUAGAGUUCGGUAGGGGAGACUGGAAUUCCUGGUGUAGCGGUGAAAUGCGCAGAUAUCAGGAGGAACACCGGUGGCGAAGGCGGGUCUCUGGGCCGAUACUGACGCUGAGGAGCGAAAGCGUGGGGAGCGAACAGG
rnacentral:rRNA from 1 species